UACAGAGGUGGCAAACGUUGUCCGGAUUUAUUGGGUGUAAAGGGCAUGUAGGUGGUUUUGUAAGUCAAAGGUGAAAUGGCCCGGCUCAACCAGGUCAUUGCCUUUGAAACUGCAAGACUCGAGUUCGGAAGAGGAAAGCGGAAUUCCCAGUGUAGCGGUGAAAUGCGUAGAUAUCGGGAGGAACACCUGUGGCGAAAGCGGCUCACUGGACCACAACUGACGCUGAGGCGCGAAAGCUAGGGGAGCAAACAGG
rnacentral:rRNA from 1 species